rnacentral:rRNA from 1 species
GGGGAAUAUUGCACAAUGGGCGGAAGCCUGAUGCAGCAACGCCGCGUGCGGGAUGACGGCCUUCGGGUUGUAAACCGCUUUCGCCUGUGACGAAGCGUGAGUGACGGUAAUGGGUAAAGAAGCACCGGCUAACUACGUGCCAGCAGCCGCGGUGAUACGUAGGGUGCGAGCGUUGUCCGGAUUUAUUGGGCGUAAAGGGCUCGUAGGUGGUUGAUCGCGUCGGAAGUGUAAUCUUGGGGCUUAACCCUGAGCGUGCUUUCGAUACGGGUUGACUUGAGGAAGGUAGGGGAGAAUGGAAUUCCUGGUGGAGCGGUGGAAUGCGCAGAUAUCAGGAGGAACACCAGUGGCGAAGGCGGUUCUUUGGGCCUUUCCUGACGCUGAGGAGCGAAAGCGUGGGGAGCGAACAGGCUUAGAUACCCUGGUAGUCCACGCUGUAAACGGUGGGUACUAGGUGUGGGGUCCAUUCCACGGGUUCCGUGCCGUAGCUAACGCUUUAAGUACCCCGCCUGGGGAGUACGGCCGCAAGGCUA